UACGGGGGGGGCAAGCGUUGUUCGGAAUUACUGGGCGUAAAGGGCUCGUAGGUGGCCAACUAAGUCGGACGUGAAAUCCCUCGGCUUAACCGGGGAACUGCAUCCGAUACUGGAAGGCUCGAGUUUGGGAGAGGGAUGCGGAAUUCCAGGUGUAGCGGUGAAAUGCGUAGAUAUCUGGAGGAACACCGGUGGCGAAGGCGGCAUCCUGGACCAACACUGACGCUGAGGAGCGAAAGCCAGGGGAGCAAACGGG
rnacentral:rRNA from 1 species